UCCCAUAACUCAAGCCUCCUCUCACUCUCCUUCCAGUGUUGCCCAGAGAUCCUUUGGAAGGUUCCCUGCUCAUGCCUAUUGGAGGCAACUGUGAAGUGUGAAGAGCUGGGAGAGGCCACCCAGAAUAAAUGGUUGAAUUAUGCCCUUUUGGAUUGGUACCACCCCAUGCCCUGCUGCUGUGGAGGUUCUGCUUCCUACUGUUCAGUGGUUGGAAUGAUGAAUUCUGGAGGGUGCUUUCCUUAUAGCACCGUCAAGGUCUGGGAUCUAACCCCUAUUUCCUGGUUAAAGCUGGUAAGGGCCAGCACCAGAUGGGCUGAAAUUCCUCCUGGGAAAGGCUGGCCUUGAGGUGUCUUUGGCCCAGCCUGGCAGGCCCAGGAGGUUCUGAGAAUGCAGAUCAGCAGCUGACUGACCAGAAGCGGAUCUGCCCCUGAAUGAUCUGAGAUUCGCCCCAUACUAGCACCAAUCCCGUGCAGAUGCAUUUCAAAGAAAUGCCCCACAGGAUGGGUGACCGUGCCCCUUCAGUGCCCAGAGGUUUCACUGGUAGCACAGACUCAGGGGCUCCUGCCACACUUGAAAAUGCCCAGACUUUCUGCUGCUUCCACAACAAACCAAGCUAAGCCCCUUCCCCGGCACCCUGAGCCCUCUGCCACCAAACUAGAAGGGGACGGGACUUCCUCCUGGCAAACACAGCAAGCAAUCCAGCUGAGUCUCUCACCUCCCGAACGUUCCUUGAUCCCGACUCCCUGAAGGAAGGCUUGCAGCGGAAAUUUAUCUGCAGAUUUAACACACACGAGAGAGGCAUCCGUGAAACCAUCUACUAAAAGAAACCUACUGGAGUCGUGUUCAAUGUGGCAGGCCUGGGAGCUUCCUGGGACAUUUGAUGCUUAUCUGGGAUCCUCAUCCAACCCCCUACCAAAGGAACAAUUCACCAGCCCUUGGGGCUAAAAUGCCAGGAGAUCUGCUAAAAGUCUGUUUCCCCACUAAACUGUCCCCUCAGGAGGCACCUGCCUGUCACGACAAUGGUUAACCAAAGCACAUGGGGUUCAGUGCUGGCCCCAUGCUGUAGCCCAGGUAAGGGGUAACCAGCUCUUCAGGCCCAGGAGCGACCUGUGUUGGGCUUUACUCACUUUCUCCAGCUGUUCUAUGCAGGGUGUAUGCACUACAAUUUUGCAGGCUGCACACUUGCGUCUGGUCAGAGGUUUCUGCUGAAAGAAGGAAAAGUCCCUAUGUUAACGUCAGUAUUUAUUUACACUCUGGAAGCCUUGGAGCUCCACUCACUCCUCCUCCACUCCGAGGCGGGCAUUCCUGAGAGCGAGCAGCUCAGCACGCUACAGGAUGGGAAGCCAUAAGGAUCACCGCAGGUAAAAAGCCUCCUCCCUUGAUCUGAAUGCUCGACCCCCAGCCUGCCUCAGCCCUGCCCUGGGGCAAGAGGCGAAGGCACUCUCCAUUGGCAGAUCACUCCUCAAUCUCUUCUGACACUGGCACCAGGCAGCCAAUCACUGCCACCUGUGGCAGUUUUGGUGCUGCCCAUCAGGCUGUGACUCAAGCUCAUUUCACCCAGACCAAUGAACAUCCAUCAGAUGGACACCAUCCUCAGAUCCCAGCACUCGCAGCUGGACGCAACCUGCACUUAGAGAGGGAAGGCUGCAGCGACUCCGAGGGCGUUGCCCCUAUGGGCGGCCCAGCCUGCAGUCAUGUAACUGCAGGGCAUGGGCUUCCACUUUUUGGUUCUUCCUUUUAUAGCAAGAUCCUUCCUGGAAAGUUCUGGAAUUAAAUUCUCUCUUGGGGCAACUGGGGUCACUAGAGCCACUCACAGAAACUCUCUAUCAACUCAGCCAGCUGGAUCCUAGCCACGGAGAUACCCAGAGGCCCUGGUGCCUGCUGCCAGCUCAGAUGCAGCAACUUUCCAGACUCAAAGCAGCAUUAGCAGCAGGCAGAAUCUAGAGCAGAACAUUUUCCAUAUCCCUCACUGGCCCUACAAGUGUUAACCCCUUCUUUGUUGGACCCCACAAUGCCUGAGAACUUCCACUGGGGUUCUCCCAACAAAUUUUUUGGUGGGCUCAGAGUGCGGCCACCAACUCUUGCUGGUGGCCGCUCUGACAAUUUUUCCGAAAAUACUUGCUCAAUUUUAGGAAAAACUCAAUAAAUAUGCACA